GCGUGGCACAACUGUCCAGCAACAGCCUUCUAAGCUGUGGGUCGGUGGUUCGAGUCCACCCGGGCGCA
rnacentral:tRNA from 2 species